CCUACGGGUGGCAGCAGUGGGGAAUAUUGCACAAUGGGGGAAACCCUGAUGCAGCGACGCCGCGUGAGUGAAGAAGUAUUUCGGUAUGUAAAGCUCUAUCAGCAGGGAAGAAGCAAGACGGUACCUGACUAAGAAGCCCCGGCUAACUACGUGCCAGCAGCCGCGGUAAUAAGGAGGGGGCAAGCGUUAUCCGGAUUUACUGGGUGUAAAGGGAGCGUAGUGGGUAUGGCAAGUCUGAAGUGGAAGCCCAGGGCAUAAACCUGGGACUGCCUUGGAAACUGUUAGACUUGAGAGCUGGAGAGGUAAGUGGAAUUCCUAGUGUAGCGGUGAAAUGCUUAGAUAUUAGGAGGAACACCAGUGGCGAAGGCGGCUUACUGGACAGGAACUGACGUUGAGGCUCGAAAGCGUGGGGAGCGAACAGGAUUAGAUACCCUGGUAGUC
rnacentral:rRNA from 1 species